UACGUAGGUGGCAAGCGUUGUCCGGAUUUACUGGGCGUAAAGAGCGCGCAGGCGGUCAUUCAAGUCGAGUGUGAAAGCCCCCGGCUCAACUGGGGAGGGUCACUCGAUACUGUUUGACUCGAAGGCGGGAGAGGGAAGUGGAAUUCCCGGUGUAGUGGUGAAAUGCGUAGAUAUCGGGAGGAACACCAGUGGCGAAGGCGACUUCCUGGCCCGUUCUCGACGCUGAGGCGCGAAAGCUAGGGGAGCAAACGGG
rnacentral:rRNA from 1 species